rnacentral:rRNA from 1 species
UACGUAGGGGGCGAGCGUUGUCCGGAAUUAUUGGGCGUAAAGAGCGUGUAGGCGGCUCGGUAAGUCCGCCGUGAAAGCUUGGGGCUCAACCCUAAGUUUGCGGUGGAUACUGUCGGGCUAGAGGGUGGUAGAGGCGAGUGGAAUUCCCGGUGUAGCGGUGAAAUGCGCAGAUAUCGGGAGGAACACCAGUAGCGAAGGCGGCUCGCUGGGCCAUACCUGACGCUGAGACGCGAAAGCGUGGGGAGCGAACAGGAUUAGAUACCCGGGUAGU